rnacentral:misc_RNA from 1 species
UUCUCAUGGAAUUUGUAACUAUGAAGAUGUAUUCAAGUCUUAAUGUGUACUUCAUCAACAACAAGAGCUUUCAGCUUAAAGUGACAUAUUUAUUUUCUACAGAGUUAAAUAUCGAAUGACUAUCAACUAAGGGCGUACAACAGAUUAUAUACACUCCAGCCCUGUUGCACGCCUAAAAGAAGAGUUAAGACGAUGAACAACUUAGAUCCAUGCAAAGAUUUGUUUUGAUCUGAAUGACAGUGUUAUCAAUUCCAUCUACAUGUCAUGCCAUGUGGUCGUCUCCAACCAAUAGGCUCGUAGCACUAACUAUUUAUGAAGAAUUGGGAGAGCGCAUGCUUGAGAAGCAUGAUUUCCCUCCUUGUAUACCAGAUUUCCGCCCACAAAGGUUGCCAAAACUUUCCCAGAGAGUCUUGAUCCCAUGUAUGCGGAUAUACUAGGGUGCUUAAUAUGUACAGGGUAGUCAUUAUCCAGGUCGAACUCCAUGUCUGGCUCCCAAACAACUAUAUCUGCUUGGUUCCCCACAGCAAUUGCCCCCUUAGUCGUUAGACCUGCAAGUUUGGCAGGCUUCUCACUCCACCAAGAAGCCAACUGCUCAUAUGUUAUUCCAUACUUACGCCCAUGUGUCCAUGUCACGGGUAGAACAAACUGUAAGGAAGAUAUGCCACCCCAUGCUUUCAAGAAGUCUCCCUCAUCUAAGAGUUUCAUUUCUGGCACAGAAGGCGAGUGGUCAGAACUUAACAUGUCAAUAUCUCCAUCCAGUAACGCAUCCCAUAGUUUUUCUUUAUUGGCUGCAUCACGAAUGGGUGGAGCACACUUAAACCGAGUAUCUCCAUCAGGAAUAUCUUCAGCUGCAAAAGCGAGAUAAUGGGGGCAAGUUUCAACGGUGAUGCUAUCACCCCUUUGUUUGGCUUCCUUAAUGAGGUUUAGUGAAGUUCUAGCAUCAGAUAGAUGAACAAUAUGGAGAUGAGCUCCUUCAGCAGAACCACCAGCCCUCGCGUCCUUUGACAGUGUUAUGAGCUGAUUGAUAGCAGCCUCUUCCAUUGAAGCAGGCCUGGUCUUGAGAUAUGUAGAGUAUGAUCUAGCAUUCUCUACCCCAUCCUCCAGCUCCACUUUUUCAUCAAGAUCUACUAGCACUUCGGCAUGAACAAGUAGGGGUCUUUUGUAUCGAGCCAGAGUUGGGAGUGCCUCCUUUAUGUGGGAUGCAGUUGUCAUGGGAAAGUCAUUGAUGCCUGAUGGCACCAUAAAAGACUUCAAUCCCAGAACCCCUGCAUUUAGAAGUCUUUCCAGAGAACUUGUAUUUUCUGCAUUUUCUGGAACCAAACCUCCCCAGAAACCAACAUCCACGUAGACCCUCCCUUCUGCAGCCUGUACCUUAAGUUUUAAAGUCUCUUCAGAAACUGUUGAUGGAGCACUAUUAAGAGGCAUGUCAACUAAUGUGGUUACUCCACCUGCAGCAGCUGCUUUUGUUCCUGAAGGAAACCCUUCCCAUUCUGAUCUUCCAGGAUCAUCAAGAUGGGCAUGCACAUCAAUAAAUCCAGGCAUGACCACAGACUCCCUAUAAUUGACCACUGUGGUAAACCGAGAAUUUACAUGCCAAUUCUCUUCAGCAACAACAG